CAGGCCUAACACAUGCAAGUCGAACGGUGCGUAGCAAUACGCAUAGUGGCGCACGGGUGCGUAACACGUAACUAACCUGCCCAUCCCUGGGGGAUAGCCCGCCGAAAGGCGGAUUAAUACCGCAUAAGAUAAUAAGGUGGCAUCACCUAGUUAUUAAAGAUUUAUCGGGGAUGGAUGGGGUUGCGGGUCAUUAGCUAGUUGGUAAGGUAAUGGCUUACCAAGGCGACGAUGACUAGGGGAGCUGAGAGGCUGGUCCCCCACACGGGCACUGAGAUACGGGCCCGACUCCUACGGGAGGCAGCAGUAGGGAAUAUUGGGCAAUGGGCGAGAGCCUGACCCAGCCAUGCCGCGUGCAGGACGAAGGCUUUCUGAGUCGUAAACUGCUUUUGACAGGGAAGAAUAAGGUGUACGUGUACACUGAUGACGGUACCUGCAGAAUAAGCACCGGCUAACUCCGUGCCAGCAGCCGCGGUAAU
rnacentral:rRNA from 1 species